rnacentral:rRNA from 1 species
AUUGAACGCUGGCGGCAGGCCUAACACAUGCAAGUCGAGCGAGCGGCGGACGGGUGAGUAAUGUCUGGGAAACUGCCUGAUGGCGGGGGAUAACUACUGGAAACGGUAGCUAAUACCGCAUAACAUCAGCUGUGCCCAGAUGGGAUUAGCUAGUAGGUGGGGUAACGGCUCACCUAGGCGACUAUCCCUAGCUGGUCUGAGAGGAUGACCAGCCACACUGGAACUGAGACACGGUCCAGACUCCUACGGGAGGCAGCAGUAGGGAAUAUUGCACAAUGGGCGCAAGCCUGAAUAAGCCAUGCCGCGUGUGUGAAGAAGGCCUUAGGGUUGGAAAGCUCUUUCAGCGGGGAGGCGUUACCCAAAGAGGAAGCACCGGCUAACUCCGUGCCAGCCGCCGCGGUAAUUC